UGGUGGUAGUACUCGACUUGGU
rnacentral:siRNA from 1 species